GACGAACCGUGCGAACGUUGUUCGGAAUCACUGGGCUUAAAGGGCGCGUAGGCGGGCGGUCAAGUCGGUGGUGAAAUCCUUCAGCUCAACUGGAGAAUGGCCGCCGAUACUGACCGCCUCGAGGGAGGUAGGGGCAUGUGGAACUCAGGGUGGAGCGGUGAAAUGCGUAGAUAUCUGGAGGAAUACCGGUGGCGAAGGCGGCUCUCUGGGCCUUACCUGACGCUGAGGAGCGAAAGCGUGGGUAGCGAACAGG
rnacentral:rRNA from 1 species